rnacentral:rRNA from 1 species
GCACAAUGGGCGCAANCCUGAUGCAGCCAUGCCGCGUGUAUGAAGAAGGCCCUAGGGUUGUAAAGUACUUUCAGUCGGGAGGAAGGCGUUGAUGCUAAUAUCAUCAACGAUUGACGUUACCGACAGAAGAAGCACCGGCUAACUCCGUGCCAGCAGCCGCGGUAAUACGGAGGGUGCAAGCGUUAAUCGGAAUUACUGGGCGUAAAGCGCACGCAGGCGGUUGAUUAAGUUAGAUGUGAAAUCCCCGGGCUUAACCUGGGAAUGGCAUCUAAGACUGGUCAGCUAGAGUCUUGUAGAGGGGGGUAGAAUUCCAUGUGUAGCGGUGAAAUGCGUAGAGAUGUGGAGGAAUACCGGUGGCGAAGGCGGCCCCCUGGACAAAGACUGACGCUCAGGUGCGAANGCGUGGGGAGCAAACAGGAUUANAUACCNUGGUAGUCCNCNCUGUAACNAUGUCCAUUUGANGNUGUUCCCUUGAGNAGNGCUUUCGANCUANCCGNUUAAUCCACCCCUGGGGA